CUCAGGGGUGAGAACCACCACCUUUUUACUGGAGCUAAAAACUCAGCCACCGUGGCUUGGAGGACAAUUCUGGAGAAGAUGGGCCAACAGGGGAAGGUCACCCUCUUGCAGGCCCAAAACAAAGUGGGAAAAUAUGAAAAGGAAAUAUAAAGUAUGUUCAGAAGUUCUCAUGUCACACACAAAUAAAAAAAAUAUUUCUAAAAGUC